AUGGCAGCCAUUAUACUGUCUCUACAGCUGUUUGCUAUUGAGGAGUCCAUGUAAAGAGAUAUAAGUGGGGCCCACAUCAUACGGAUAUCUAUACAGCACCAUGUGUACAGGAUUAGGACACGCAAGACUUAGGAUCUACAGAACCUGGAUAUUCUACAGCACUGGACCGAGAACGUUUCUACGGAUUCCUGGCCCAAUUGGACCUUCCCAUGAGCCGCAAGAUAAAAUCUGAAAAAAGUGAAAGACUCCCAAGACUUCCCAAUGCCUUACAAUGACAGAUAACACAUAC